rnacentral:rRNA from 1 species
CAGCAGCCGCGGUAAUACGAAGGGUGCAAGCGUUACUCGGAAUUACUGGGCGUAAAGCGUGCGUAGGUGGUGGUUUAAGUCCGUUGUGAAAGCCCUGGGCUCAACCUGGGAAUUGCAGUGGAUACUGGGUCACUAGAGUGUGGUAGAGGAUAGUGGAAUUUCCGGUGUAGCAGUGAAAUGCGUAGAGAUCGGAAGGAACAUCUGUGGCGAAGGCGACUAUCUGGGCCAACACUGACACUGAGGCACGAAAGCGUGGGGAGCAAACAGGAUUAGAUACCCCAGUAGUCCCUGUCUCUAUACA